GCUUUCGAUCCGUUUAACAACUCUGUUUAACGUACAUCGAUAUACCGAUAUAGGAUCGUGGUUACUUGAAAUUUGCUUGUUCAUCAGCUAAAGGUGUUUCUGUAGUGAUUUUGCAUGGUGGUUCGAAUAGAGGAUUGAAGGCUGCGAGAGCUGACCAAAUAUCCAAUUGAAUGGCACGGACAUAACACGAAGAAGGCAAGUUAAAUACCCAGGACUCCACUUAGACACACAAUUUACAUGGAAACAACAUACUAAGUCAAUUAUAGACAAAAUACGGAUAAAAAGAAGACAGAUGUAUUGGCUAAUUAGUCGAAACUCUAAACUCAGCAUAGAAAAUAAACCAAAAAUCUACAAAACGAUAAUAAAACCAAUUUGGACGUCAGGAAUACCACUAUGGGGGACAGCAGCAAUCAGCCACAUAAAUAAACUAGAGGCGCUACAAUCGAAGAUACACAAAGGAGGAUAUACACAAAGACUUAAAAAUACCAACAGUCAAAGAAGAAAUCGCCAAGUACGCAGAAAAAUACAAGGAAAGGACGGCAACACAUCCAAAUCAGCCGUCUGCUGAAGCGAGUAAAACUCUCAUAAAGAGACGACUAAAAAGAAAACACCUCACUGACCUCACUAAAGAAAUAAAAUAGUCGAACUCGAAGAUAAUAUCCCGUAGCCAUCCACAUGUUAUUUAACGAUCAAAUUAGAAAAAUUUACCAAAUGUCCAGCUGGAUAAAUUGCAAAAUACAAAUUAAAUAAUAAUAAAAAAAAAGAAUAGAGGGUUGUGACUAUGAAUAGGUUACUCUCGAGCAACUUGGCUCAAUUCACGUAUCGUCGUGAUAUUCGUGUGUUGUUAUUAUAAAUCGGUCAGAGUAUCCACAUAAGCAUUCGUUGAUUUACGCGAUAUGGUAAUCCGAUACAACAGCGCACUCGAAUGGAACGCUUUGUUAUUAUUAAUGUUGGAAGCUUGUUUCAUAUUCGAUGACUAUUUAUCGAGUAUUGCUCAUCUUGAUUACACGUAACUGUACGAAAGAAUGUAUAACAGCCAGAAGCAUAAACUAAAGCGACACGAGAAGAAUUACACGAUGCUCGAUGCGUGAUAGAAUUCGUUCAAAGUGAAAGUAACUGUUUGUUAUGCGAUGCAAAGAAUUUCUCGAAUGUUACACGUAUCACAUGGCUAACGAGUAUCGAAUUUUCUCUAUCUUUUUGAAACACUUUUCGCACAUUUCAAAGAUUGUCAAAGAUCGCACGUUUUAUAGGUUAAGCUUGGCAACUAAGUGAUUGCGGAUUUCGUCAACACCACCUAAUGACAAAGCAUUGGCAAAAUCCGCAAUCACUUAGUUGCCAACCCAAUUGUUUUAACUAAAAAGCUCGAACCUUCGAACGCAUUUCGACAUAUUUCGUCCACGCAACUGGGGCAUAUUCGAAAUUCGAAAGUUUUCGUGCGGAGUUCUGAAAUUUUGCGUAACUGAAGAUUUUAAUAAUAAAAGCUUAACAAAUUUGCGAUUUAGCACGCUCGGACGUUUAAAAUCUUUUCUACGCGAAUUUCUCAAUGCUGCAACGUUUAAAAAUGUAAGAAACCUUCGAAAUCUUUUGAAUGUUUAACUUUCAAAUGUUUGGACGUUUGAAGGUUCAAGUAUUCGAAACGUGAAGUUUCGAGAUCUUGGAAAUUUGACAGAAUUAAAUGAAAAUUGAAAAUUCCUCCUCCACGGCAUUCAAAAUCCUUGUUCCUGAUAAUUUACGAUUUCCAAAUAUAUUGGCAAACUGAAAAUACUUUACAGGACAGAAAAGUGCAGCAUUCACGUAACCAAACCUAUGGAACACUAUCGCGUUACGUAACAACCUGCAGUAAUGUUGCCGGUGCUAUGAGAAAAAAAGAGCUGCAAGAAUUGCCUUUUGUUCUUACAAUGAGAAUUUUCAUCUGGUUAUUCGUGAUUUUUUUUUUUAAGGGAAAAAAAGGGGGACGAGUAAUUAUUGGUAUAAAAAGAAGCAGCAGUGUCUACCAUAGAAAACAGUAGUUUUUCCA
rnacentral:lncRNA from 1 species